UUAAUUUGAGAGUUUGAUCCUGGCUCAGGACGAACGCUGGCGGCGUGCCUAAUACAUGCAAGUCGAACGAACUCUGGUAAUGAUUGGUGCUUGCAUCAUGAAUUGCAUUUGAGUGAGUGGCGAACUGGUGAGUAACACGUGGGAAACCUGCCCAGAAGCGGGGGAUAACACCUGGAAACAGAUGCUAAUACCGCAUAACAACUUGGACCGCAUGGUCCGAGUUUGAAAGAUGGCUUCGGCUAUCACUUUUGGAUGGUCCCGCGGCGUAUUAGCUAGAUGGUGAGGUAACGGCUCACCAUGGCAAUGAUACGUAGCCGACCUGAGAGGGUAAUCGGCCACAUUGGGACUGAGACACGGCCCAAACUC
rnacentral:rRNA from 2 species